rnacentral:tRNA from 1 species
UCCCUGGUGGUCUAGUGGUUAGGAUUCAGUGCUUUCACUGCUGUGGCCCAGGUUCAAUUCCUGGUCGGGGAA